GCCGCGGCGAGCGUGUCGGAUGGCAUUGGUGACCACGUGGCGCGAAGGCGUUCGGGAGUCGUUCCGAAUCAGAAAUAAACUGCUUUAGUUUCUUCAGAAUCUGCUAAACGAUCCAUCUACCGCCAUCGACAGUCCAACAGUGUCCAAAUUCGCAACUAUCAAGUACGCUGACGUAAUGGAGAAGAGCUGUCAUCCCUUACCAAGAAAAAUCGUGUGUAAACAAUUAAAAUUCAAAGUGAAGUGAAUGUUACGAAAUAACCGAUAAUCAAAAUUGUGAAUGGUUUUUAACUCUUCUCGUUGUUCAAUAAAAAUGCAGUUCGUUUGAGAAAGUAAACAACGUGUUCAUUGACCUCAGUCAUUAGCCUGCAACAAUGUAACACGGAAGAAAUACGUAUACAGAAAAAGUCAUGAUUACAAGAAGAUUUAGUGAUACUCUCCGUCGGUACAGACGAGGGUCACACGUUUCCCAGCAACGGAACGAACAGGGAAGCCUGAUGAAGAGAUUAUGAAAUUAAUGACGAAAAUUGAUUCAGAACUCUCUAAUACGGAGGCUGAUGAUACUGAGACUGAAGAUACUAUAUGGAUGCCACAAGAUGAUACUAAUGACAAGGAAAGUUCAGCAUCAGAAGAAGAAUCUUCUGGUAUUGCUCAUACACAACAGAGACAACAGUUCCUGAGACACGCAAAAUAAUCAGAGAUGCUUCUUGUAAUCUUCAGUGUGACGCUGACGUUGGUACCUCAGAAGCCUUAGCUGAACUGAUGAAGCCAUUAGGAUAUUUUUCCAUGCAGUUUCGUGGUUUCUUUUUUAAAGGUGUCACAAUUAGCAAGCUGUAAGCCUGACUGCACGGAGUGAUACCCAUCUGUUAUUACCGCAAGAGUGCCUGAGGAUUAGGUUCCUGUGAAGGAAUGGACAACACCAUCUCGAGUCCAUGACUAAAAAAAUAAAUUAUGUCGCGCAGUACGCAAAAAUUACCUCUUUAAGUUAUUCCCAUACCACUCUUAGUUAAUUAAAACUUUCUAACAUAAUACAUGUACGGAAGAACCGGAGUUCUUCAACCAUCUCCUGUGGAAAUGUAACUAUUGCUGAAAACAUUUAAUAACUCCACAUUCACGUGUUAUGAACUGAGGCUUAAUUAACGUUUGGUUCAAUUGGUGCUAGUACAGAAUCCAGGAGUGUUCCUAGAUACAAGAAAUUAUAAGCAUCUUGCAAGCCUUGAGUAUC